AGAACCACUGAUGACUCAAGCGUGCCUCACCUCCUUUUUCGUCCAGACUGUCAUCCUGCAUACCGUUGUUUCACUCUUACUACGAAUAAGGGAAACUCUUAUUUUAGGGCACAAUGCCAAUACAUUACUGCUUUCCUGGAUUCCUACUGCUUGGCUUCGUAGCAUUAACUUACGGGUAUUCAUGCUCCCAAACAACAUGCGGAGAAGGAAUGAAACCAGACUGUUUGGCGAAGGACGGACAACUCUACUUUCAGUGCA